GACGAACGCUGGCGGCGUGCUUAACACAUGCAAGUCGAACGGAAAGGCCCUGCUUGCAGGGUACUCGAGUGGCGAACGGGUGAGUAACACGUGGGUGAUCUGCCCUGCACUUCGGGUUAAGCCUGGGCAACUGGGUCUAAUACCGGAUAGGAGCUAUUUUUAGUGUGAUGGUUGGAAAGUUUUUUGGGUGUAGGAUGAGCUCGCGGCGUAUCAGCUUGUUGGGGGGGUAAUGGCCUACCAAGGCGGCGACGGGUGGCCGCCCUGUGAGGGUGGACGGCCACCUUGGGUCUGAGGGACGGCCCAGACACCGACGGGAGGCAGCAGGGGGGAAUACUGAACAAGGGGCGCAGGCCGGAUGCAGCAGGGCCGCGGGGCGUAUGACGGUGUUAUGGUUGUAAACUCCUUUCGCAAGGGACUAAGCUUUUUUUGACGGUACCUAGACAAGAAGCACCGGCUAACUACGUG
rnacentral:rRNA from 1 species